GUGGGGAAUUUUGGACAAUGGGCGCAAGCCUGAUCCAGCAAUGCCGCGUGCAGGAAGAAGGCCUUCGGGUUGUAAACUGCUUUUGUACGGAACGAAACGGUCCUGGCUAAUAUCCGGGGCUAAUGACGGUACCGUAAGAAUAAGCACCGGCUAACUACGUGCCAGCAGCCGCGGUAAUACGUAGGGUGCGAGCGUUAAUCGGAAUUACUGGGCGUAAAGCGUGCGAAGGCGGUGCUGUAAGACAGGCGUGAAAUCCCCGGGCUCAACCUGGGAAUUGCGCUUGUGACUGCAGUGCUGGAGUGCGGCAGAGGGGGAUGGAAUUCCGCGUGUAGCAGUGAAAUGCGUAGAUAUGCGGAGGAACACCGAUGGCGAAGGCAAUCCCCUGGGCCUGCACUGACGCUCAUGCACGAAAGCGUGGGGAGCAAACAGGAUUAGAUACCCGGGUAGUCC
rnacentral:rRNA from 1 species